GCACCCGAGUAAGUACGGGAAAACAUAUGACACCUACCCUCCGAAGGCAGAGGUCACACGCUCGAAUCGUGUCGGGUGCGCCA
rnacentral:tRNA from 1 species